AUACUGAAUAAUAUUUUAGGUGUUUUAGAAGAAGCUUAAAUGGGAAAGCGGUGUAAAUCCGCUACAGCCCCCGCUACUGUAAGUGAGGAUGAAAUCGGCAACGGCCACUGAAAAAUUUUCGGGAAGGUGUCGAGAGUAAGGUGAUUCACAAGUCAGGAGACCAGCCUAAAGAAUACAACAACC
rnacentral:ncRNA from 1 species